rnacentral:rRNA from 1 species
AGUGAACGCUGGCGGCAGGCCUAAUACAUGCAAGUCGAACGGCAGCACAGUGGAGCUUGCUCCAUGGGUGGCGAGUGGCGGACGGGUGAGGAAUACAUGGGAAUCUGCCCAGUCGUGGGGGAUAACGUAUGGAAACGUACGCUAAUACCGCAUGCGCCCUUCGGGGGAAAGUCGGGGACCGCAAGGCCUGACGCGAUUGGAUGAGCCCAUGUUCGAUUAGCUAGUUGGCGGGGUAACGGCCCACCAAGGCGACGAUCGAUAGCUGGUCUGAGAGGAUGAUCAGCCACACUGGAACUGAGACACGGUCCAGACUCCUACGGGAGGCAGCAGUAGGAAGUAUUGGUACGAAUAGGGCGGCAAG